rnacentral:rRNA from 1 species
ACGGGACCCGCACAAGCGGUGGAUGAUGUGGUUUAAUUCGAUGCAACGCGAAAAACCUUACCCACCUUUGACAUGUACGGAACCCUUUAGAGAUAGAGGGGUGCUCGAAAGAGAGCCGUAACACAGGUGCUGCAUGGCUGUCGUCAGCUCGUGUCGUGAGAUGUUGGGUUAAGUCCCGCAACGAGCGCAACCCUUGUCAUUAGUUGCUACAUUCAGUUGGGCACUCUAAUGAGACUGCCGGUGACAAGCCGGAGGAAGGUGGGGAUGACGUCAAGUCCUCAUGGCCCUUAUAGGUGGGGCUACACACGUCAUACAAUGGCUGGUACAAAGGGUUGCCAACCCGCGAGGGGGAGCCAAUCCCAUAAAGCCAGUCGUAGUCCGGAUCGUAGUCUGCAACUCGACUACGUGAAGUCGGAAUCGCUAGUAAUCGUGGAUCAGAAUGUCACGGUGAAUACGUUCCCGGGUCUU